UGAGAAGUGUUUUUGCCUUGACGUUUACAACCUCGCCUGAGUGCUGCGCGGUACCUUCCAGGAGUUGGAAAUAACCUACAGUGAUACGUCAGCCUCGGCACUUGGGCCCGCAAAGGUCUCUUAACCCAGACCCUGCUGUGUAUGUCUUCGGUUUGGAAACUUUUUCAUCCAAAAGUACGCCGGCUUGAAAAGACCUUUCGACAGAGCUUAUUUUAUUUCCUGUUCAGAAUUCUUGACAUAGAGCGAUAGAGCUAGAAGUCAGUCUCAGGAUCAGCUCCAUCAACCUUUUCAUUUUGCAGAGAAACUGAGGCCCAGGGAGGUAUAGAAAUUUGCCAAAAAUCACGCCCUUCACCUCCUCCAACGAUGGUCAUUCGGAGGUGCCUUGGACCACUUUCUGUUCCCUGCGAAGUUCAGUAUCCCUGACUCUUCUAUCCACUGACCUCAGGUGACAUGGCCCCCCUUCCCAAAGGAACUCUGUUUAUUUUUACAGUUUCUACUGAUCAUUGGAAAUGAAGGGAGCGGGAAAUGAACUUGAAUGACCACCACAUUGAGGGCUAGCCUGACUUAAGGGUGACUGUCACUAUGAUAGGAAUGACUUCAACAAGAAACAACACAGAAGCCUCCAGACUACUCAGGGCUUUAGCCAAAGAAGCUAAGAAGUCUUCUCUUCGGAUGAGUGAAGUUGAGGAUAGGAGCUGUAGAGCUCAUCAGCUGUCCUCUAUAGCAUCUCUAGCUGACUGUCCGUCAGUGAAGUCAACUCUUUUUGGUGUCUUAAUUCUCUCAGGUCUCAAAAGGAGCAGAUGUACGGGUGAUAAACAGAACUGCCUAUUUAAGACAUGCUGUUUUUAAAGAAAGUAGCAACUGUUUCAUGAGGUACUUCCUAAGUUUACCAAAGCCCCAUAUAUAUAUAUAUAUACAUCUUCUCCAAAGUACAUCUUAAAGAUGAGCAAGGAAACAGUGGUAAUAACACCUUGGGAUCUAGAGAAACUGAAUGAUUAAAUAUGAAGAGUUAAACAUUUUGUGUUUUAAUGAUACAUGUGAAGAUGGAAAUUCCAGUGUGGGCAGUCAUCUUUACAAGAAAGGAUAAUUAGACAAAAAUAUCAUCUUAAUGGUUUUCUGCAUUGUUUUUUUUUUUUUGAGUCUAGGGCAUGAAGAUUUGAUCACAGAAUUCCUAGAAUGAAAGAAAGAUGAUCAAGGCAUAGAUAAACUCUCAGAAUUUCCACAAUGCUGAGAAAGGCACCUUCAAUAACGUGCCUGUUGGCAACAUCAGGAGAAUUCUCUUUUCAACCACAUCCCAGGACCCAGUAAUACAGAGACUCAAAACACUCACGUUGACUAAUACAUCCCCUGUCACCCAUCACAAUUUUAAAUGGUGGCUUUGGAAAUUUUCAGACUGAAAAUCUGCCUUAUGAAUCAGCUAGAAAUUGCAUCUGUUGACAGUCUGAUUGAUUUCGUUAGCAACUCUCCCUUCUGAGGAAUAAAAAGAUUUGUUUAUUUGAAGACUGGGUUCCCCAGGGAGGAAAAAGCCUGAGAUGAGAUUAUUUCUCACCCUGGAGUGGUUCCUAAGCCAUAUGUGGAUCCCAGAAACUCAGCCCGUAUCAUUCUCUUUAGCUACUAAGUCCUCACUUGCCUCUGGAUGGGACCAUUUCAUGCCCUGUCUGUGCACUUACUCUCUGUACGGAAUCAUCUCUGUAGAGCUCGGACCCUGUCUGCAGGGACCAGAAAGAGCACAUGGCUGAGAAAACUGGGCUUGAGUCCUGGCUCUGUCACUGCCUGUGUGACCUCUGAGUUUUGAGGUCUUCUUCAUCUCAUGGGUUGGUGACAUCCACCUUGCAAAGGGGCUAUGAAGAGGAAAAGAAGACUUACACGUCUGGCACAUAGAAGGUGCCUCUCGGAUUCUGUGGCUGGGGAGAGUCGACAUCCUUAGCCUUCCCAGGACUCCGAGGACACCAGUGACCCCUUACCUGUCACGCAGCCAGGUACGACGAUGAAUACGAAGAAUCCCCACAUCAGCAAGCCUGGCUCCAUCGUCCGGGCCCCUGGGAUCAGCUGCCGAUGUGAGGGCCAGGAAGAAAAGAUCAUUACUGGGGACUUCCCUGGUGGUGCAGUGGUUAAGAAUCCGCCUGCCAGUGCAGGGGACAACGUGUUCGAGCCCUGGUCCGGGAAGAUCCCACAUGCCGCAGAGCAGCUAAGUCCAUGCGCCACAACUACUGAAGCCCACGUGCCUAGAGCCCGUGCUCCACAACAAGAGAAGCCACCACAAUGAGAGGCCCGCGCACCGCAACGAAGAGUAGCCCCUGCUCGCCACGACUAGAGAAAGCCCGUGCGCAUCAAUGAAGACCCAAGGCAGCCAAAAAUAAAUAAAUUUGUGGAAAAAAAAAACCCAAAACAAGGAUCAUUACUAAAAUGUGGACUUUGGUUUUCGAUGUUGGGGGUACUCAGGACUUUUGCUGCCAUGUGUGGGAUCUUUAGUUGCAGCAUUCAAACUCUUAGUUGCGGCCUGUGGGGUGUAGUUCCCCGACUAGGGAUCGAACCUGGGCCCCCUGCAUUGGGAGUGCAGAGUCUUAGCCACUGGACUGCCAGGGAAGUCCCUUCCCUGUUAGAGAUCAGAGCUAUCUUCUGAUUUUCACGAAAUGGUUGACUAUGUUUUGCUAAGUGGAGAUUCAUGUAAUCAUGUAGUUAUAGUAAAAUACAAUUUAAAAGAUAUUAGAAAGCAAGUGAAAAUAUUGACAAAAGGAAGAACCAUCCAGGCAAGCCAAAGCAAUUCAUGGUUCCGAUAUGUGUUGUUGAUAAUUCUCUAAGAACAUUCUGAUAUUCUCUAAGAAAGGUAAUUAUGAUCUCUGAAAAGGGCUUUGAAAGGCUGCACAUGGACCAAGAGUGGUUUCCAGAUUAAGUACCAGAGUUUGCAGAGAAAAGCAUGAACUGAUCUCUUUCCACGAGUGAAAUACUUUAUCGAAAUGUGACAGGAUUAUCUUUUACGAUUCCAGAGCAGGCUUACGCUCAUUGCUGGAAACAUUUCAACCAUGUGAUGAGUGCGGCAAUUCCUGUUAUCUGCCGGGCUGUCCCUGUUAUUAAGCUGGAGACUUUGCCUGGCUACAGUGAUCAUCGUAUAGUUUUGAAAUAAACUUACAGAAAAAUUGGAAGUAUAAUAUAAAUAACUCCCCCCCACAAACCAUGGAAGAGUAGCUGCCACUGUGAUGUUCCAAAUACAGAAUUGACGAUGUUCACUUUGAUCCCUUGAUCCAGGUGGUGUCUCCCAGGGGCCCCCACUUUACAGUCACUAUAACCCUAACCCUAACCCUAACCCUCUUUGUAAUAAGUAAGGACUUGGUGAUAAGAAGUAAAUAUCGUGUUACACAUCAGACUUUCAAUUUAUUCAUUUAUUUGUGUGCACAGACUCAGCAUUUUCUAUCUUUUUCACUGGGUUAUAAUCGAUCGCUGCCAUUUAUUUCAGUGCUCAAACUGUCUCCUGUUUGUCCACCGCGAGUCCAUUCAAGGUGGCUUCUGUGUCCUUUUGACACAUCCCCAUCAUUCUUUCUGUACUUCUUUGCUUUGGGAGCAUAAGGAGAUUUUUCCAGGCUCAUCUUGUACUUUCUCUGUCCCAGCCCUGGAAUCAGCCAUUAAUCCAAAGAGUCCGGGUUCCUUCAGAGGGAAAUAGUGUUUUGAUGCCAAGAUAUGCUCAUUGCUAUUGGGGUGGCACUACUCCUAGGCUCCCCCAAUGAACAGAGCUAGGGACAGAGGUGAGGAAUACAUGCAUGUACACC